AUACCCUAUUAUUUUUAUUGUAAAUUAAAUAGAGUCGGAGUAUUAGUAGAUAUGAUCUUUAAACUUAAAGAAUUUGGCGGUAUUAUAGUCUGUUUAGAGGAAUCUGUUAUGUAAUCGAUAAUCCACGUUGAACCUUACUUACAUAAGUUCUUGUAUAUCGCUGUUUAAGAAAAUAUUUUUAGAUUGAUUGUCUGGAUAUAAAAAUAAUUAAUAUUUCAAGUCAAGGUGCAGUAAUAUGUAAGUUGAAUUGAUGGAUUACAAUAAAUUUUAUUUAUUAUGGAUUGUUAUUGAAAUAUGAUUUGAAGGUGGAUUUAAUUGUAAUUUUGUAAAGAUUAAUAAAAUGAUUUAAAGCUCUAUAAUAUGUACACAUCGCCC
rnacentral:rRNA from 1 species